CCGAGAAUGUUACAGUAGUUCUAUCCAGCAGCAAUUCGACGAGAAACGCAGGGGAUAUUCUGCCAUCAGGAAGACUAACUAUGGAUGCGCACGAAGCAAUAGUAGUAAAACCACAAUAAAAUAUUAAGGUAUUAUGGAAUAUUUACACUAUUCUGUUAAUAAUGAUAUGUCUAUUUCGAAUUUUCCAAUAAUAAACUAAUUAACAUUUUAA